AUUGAACGCUGGCGGCAGGCCUAACACAUGCAAGUCGAGCGGAUGACGGGAGCUUGCUCCUUGAUUCAGCGGCGGACGGGUGAGUAAUGCCUAGGAAUCUGCCUGGUAGUGGGGGACAACGUUUCGAAAGGAACGCUAAUACCGCAUACGUCCUACGGGAGAAAGCAGGGGACCUUCGGGCCUUGCGCUAUCAGAUGAGCCUAGGUCGGAUUAGCUAGUAGGUGAGGUAAUGGCUCACCUAGGCGACGAUCCGUAACUGGUCUGAGAGGAUGAUCAGUCACACUGGAACUGAGACACGAUCCAGACUCCUACGGGAGGCAGCAGUGGGGAAUAUUGGACAAUGGGCGAAAGCCUGAUCCAGCCAUGCCGCGUGUGUGAAGAAGGUCUUCGGAUUGUAAAGCACUUUAAGUUGGGAGGAAGGGCAGUAAGCUAAUACCUUGCUGUUUUGACGUUACCGACAGAAUAAGCACCGGCUAACUCUGUGCCAGCCGCCGCAGUAAGAC
rnacentral:rRNA from 1 species